rnacentral:rRNA from 1 species
CCCUACGGGGGGCAGCAGUGAGGAAUAUUGGUCAAUGGUCGGGAGACUGAACCAGCCAAGCCGCGUGAGGGAUGAAGGUACAGAGUAUCGUAAACCUCUUUUGUCAGGGAACAAAGGCGGGGACGUGUCCCCGGAUGAGUGUACCUGAAGAAGAAGCAUCGGCUAACUCCGUGCCAGCAGCCGCGGUAAUACGGAGGAUGCGAGCGUUAUCCGGAUUUAUUGGGUUUAAAGGGUGCGCAGGCGGUCUGUUAAGUCAGCGGUCGAAGCCCGGGGCUCAACCCCGGCCCGCCGUUGAAACUGGCAGU